GACGAACGCUGGCGGCGUGCUUAACACAUGCAAGUCGAGCGGUAAGGCCCUUUCGGGGGUACACGAGCGGCGAACGGGUGAGUAACACGUGGGUGACCCGCCCUCAGCUCUGAGAUAAGCCUGGGAAACCGGGUCUAAUACUGGAUAUGACUCCAUGACGCAUGUUGUGGGGUGGAAAGCCUUGUGCGGCUGAGGAUGGGCCCGCGGCCUAUCAGCUUGUUGGUGGGGUGAUGGCCUACCAAGGCGACGACGGGUAGCCGGCCUGAGAGGGCGACC
rnacentral:rRNA from 1 species